rnacentral:rRNA from 1 species
GACGUAGGGCGCGAGCGUUGUCCGGAUUUAUUGGGCGUAAAGAGCUCGUAGGCGGCUUGUCGCGUCGAAUGUGAAAACUUGGGGCUCAACUCCAAGCUUGCAUUCGAUACGGGCAGGCUAGAGUUCGGUAGGGGAGACUGGAAUUCCUGGUGUAGCGGUGAAAUGCGCAGAUAUCAGGAGGAACACCGGUGGCGAAGGCGGGUCUCUGGGCCGAUACUGACGCUGAGGAGCGAAGCGUGGGGAGCGAACAGG